AGCUACCUACGGGAGGCAGCAGUGAGGAAUAUUGGUCAAUGGGCGCGAGCCUGAACCAGCCACGUCGCGUGAGGGAUGACGGCCCUACGGGUUGUAAACCUCUUUUGCCGGGGAGCAACGGGCGCCACGUGUGGCGCCACUGAGAGUACCCGGAGAAAAAGCAUCGGCUAACUCCGUGCCAGCAGCCGCGGUAAUAUGGAGGAUGCGAGCGUUAUCCGGAUUUAUUGGGUUUAAAGGGUGCGUAGGCGGUCCGUUAAGUCAGCGGUAAAAUUGCGGGGCUCAACCCUGUCGAGCCGUUGAAACUG
rnacentral:rRNA from 1 species